GGGUCAAAAAUUCCCAGGGGUAUCUCACAGUUUCUUCAAGGUUAUUAAUACUACCAAAUGAAUCUGCUUUUUUAAAAAUAAUUCUUUGAAUUUGAGCUAUGAAUAUUAGAGGUGCCAAAAGCAGGAACUAACAUAAUCUGCAAAAUAUACUCAUUUAACUAUUGCACUGCUAGCACUCCAGUGAGGAUGGAGGCAGGGGAAACUGUGUUGCAGAUUACCAAUGGAAGCCAGAAACCCUUUUACUGGACAUGAAAACAUGUCAGAGAGAAAACCAGAGACUCGUGGCUUCAGCUGUUGCUUGUGGUGCCCCAGCUCAUGCUCACUUAUGCAGACAAGGGUAUUCCCAGUAUUCGUGGCAGAUGUAGGUGUCUCUCAAUGGGAUACUAAGACAGCUGGUAUUU